rnacentral:rRNA from 1 species
AGUCGGACGGGAUUGAGGAGCUUGCUUCUCAUGAGAGUGGCGCACGGGUGCGUAACACGUAUGUAACCUACCUUGUUCAGGGGGAUAGCCUCUCGAAAGAGAGAUUAACACCGCAUAAAAUCAAUUUAUGGCAUCAUAGAAUGAUCAAAUAUUUAUAGGAACAAGAUGGGCAUGCGGAACAUUAGCUAGUUGGUAAGGUAACGGCUUACCAAGGCUACGAUGUUUAGGGGAUCUGAGAGGAUGACCCCCCACACUGGUACUGAGACACGGACCAGACUCCUACGGGAGGCAGCAGUAAGGAAUAUUGGUCAAUGGACGCAAGUCUGAACCAGCCAUGCCGCGUGCAGGAAGACGGCCCUACGGGUUGUAAACUGCUUUUGUACCGGAAUAAACCUUUUCACGUGUGAGAAGCUGAAUGUACGGUAAGAAUAAGGAUCGGCUAACUCCGUGCCAGCAGCCGCGGUAAUACGGAGGAUCCAAGCGUUAUCCGGAUUUAUUGGGUUUAAAGGGUGCGUAGGUGGCCUAUUAAGUCAGGGGUGAAAGACGGUAGCUUAACUAUCGCAGUGCCUUUGAUACUGAUGGGCUUGAAUACACUUGAGGUAGGCGGAAUGUGACAAGUAGCGGUGAAAUGCAUAGAUAUGUCACAGAACACCAAUUGCGAAGGCAGCUUACUAAAGUGUUAUUGACACUGAGGCACGAAAGCGUGGGGAUCAAACAGGAUUAGAUACCCUGGUAGUCCACGCCCUAAACGAUGAAUACUCGAUGUUGGCGAUAUACGGUCAGCGUCUAAGCGAAAGCGUUAAGUAUUCCACCUGGGGAGUACGCCCGCAAGGGUGAAACUCAAAGGAAUUGACGGGGGCCCGCACAAGCGGA